rnacentral:rRNA from 1 species
AACGAACGCUGGCGGCAGGCUUAACACAUGCAAGUCGAACGCCCCGCAAGGGGAGUGGCAGACGGGUGAGUAACGCGUGGGAACAUACCCUUUGGUGCGGAACAACAACUGGAAACGGUUGCUAAUACCGCAUGAGCCCUACGGGGGAAAGAUUUAUCGCCAAAGGAUUGGCCCGCGUCGGAUUAGCUAGUUGGUGGGGUAAUGGCCUACCAAGGCGACGAUCCGUAGCUGGUCUGAGAGGAUGAUCAGCCACACUGGGACUGAGACACGGCCCAGACUCCUACGGGAGGCAGCAGUGGGGAAUAUUGGACAAUGGGCGCAAGCCUGAUCCAGCCAUGCCGCGUGAGUGAUGAAGGCCCUAGGGUUGUAAAGCUCUUUCAGCGAGGAGGAUAAUGACGUUACUCGCAGAAGAAGCCCCGGCUAACUUCGUGCCAGCAGCCGCAGUAACAC